rnacentral:rRNA from 1 species
UACGGAAGGCAGCAGGGGGAAUAUUGCACAAUGGGCGAAAGCCUGAUGCAGCUAUGCCGCGUGUAUGAAGAAGGCCUUAGGGUUGUAAAGUACUUUCAUCGGGGAGGAAAAACAAAACUAAUAAUUUUAUUUCUUGACGUUACCCGAAAAAGAAGCACCGGCUAACUCCGUGCCAGCAGCCGCGGUAAUACGGAGGGUGCUAGCGUUAAUCAGAAUUACUGGGCGUAAAGAGCACGUAGGUGGUUUUUUUAAGUCAGAUGUGAAAUCCCUGGGCUUUAACCUAGGAACUGCAUUUUGAAACUGAAAUACUAGAGUAUCGUAGAGGGAGGUAGAAUUCUAGGUGUAGCGGUGAAAUGCGUAGAUAUCUGGAGGAAUACCUGUGGCGAAAGCGGCCUCCUAAACGAAUACUGACACUGAGGGUGCGAAAGCGUGGGGAGCAAACAGGGAUUAGAUA